CCCUAUGGGUGCUGAUCCACAGGUACCCAUCCCGGGUCUGAGCAAUACCGGUGACCUUGUCUUGUGGCAGUCCCCGCUCGCUCUGCCAGCCCUCGAUCAGAUAACCUUUUCGGCCCACGGUCUGCGCGCUCACCGGUCCCGCCGACCAUACCAGGAAGAUUGUCAAGAGCCCAGCCCAAAACCCGGCCUUCUGUCGGCGAGGAUCGCGUGAGAGGAAUCUCGCUCUAUCUGCCCAGCGACGCCGGAGCGACCUGUUUCUUAGGCCGCCCGACAAGGCCCGACCCGAAUUCAAUUGGCAGCACUGCCUGGCCAUGCUGCAAUGCUCUCUCCGCCCACAACUUGAGUCAACACUGGACGGAUAUCUGCCGACCCGUUCCGGGGCGUCUGUUUGACAUUGCACGAGGCGGGGGGGC
rnacentral:rRNA from 1 species